rnacentral:miRNA from 1 species
UGGGUGUACUUGUGGAUGAAUG